rnacentral:rRNA from 3 species
CAUCCUCCAAGGCUAAAUACUCCUGACUGACCGAUAGUGAACCAGUACCGUGAGGGAAAGGCGAAAAGAACCCCGGCGAGGGGAGUGAAAAAGAACCUGAAACCGUGUACGUACAAGCAGUGGGAGCCCCACCACCAAAGCAUUCUCUGGUGUUGAAGGCCCUGCAAAGCAGCAUCGCGGUGGCGGAGCGUCGUUUGCGACGCCCAACACACAAAACAAGCGGUGAGUGCUUUGGGGUGGGGUGACUGCGUACCUUUUGUAUAAUGGGUCAGCGACUUAUAUUCUGUAGCAAGGUUAACCGAAUAGGGGAGCCGGAGGGAAACCGAGUCUUAAUUGGGCGUUAAGUUGCAGGGUAUAGACCCGAAACCCGGUGAUCUAGCCAUGGGCAGGUUGAAGGUUGGGUAACACUAACUGGAGGACCGAACCGACUAAUGUUGAAAAAUUAGCGGAUGACCUGUGGCUGGGGGUGAAAGGCCAAUCAAACCGGGAGAUAGCUGGUUCUCCCCGAAAGCUAUUUAGGUAGCGCCUCGUGAAUUCAUCUCCGGGGGUAGAGCACUGUUUCGGCUAGGGGGCCAUCCCGGCUUACCAACCCGAUGCAAACUGCGAAUACCGGAGAAUGUUAUCACGGGAGACACACGGCGGGUGCUAACGUCCGUCGUGAAGAGGGAAACAACCCAGACCGCCAGCUAAGGUCCCAAAGUCAUGGUUAAGUGGGAAACGAUGUGGGAAGGCCCAGACAGCCAGGAUGUUGGCUUAGAAGCAGCCAUCAUUUAAAGAAAGCGUAAUAGCUCACUGGUCGAGUCGGCCUGCGCGGAAGAUGUAACGGGGCUAAACCAUGCACCGAAGCUGCGGCAGCGA